GCGAAAGUGGCGGAACUGGUAGACGCACCAGCCUUAGGAGCUGGCGGGGCAGCCCGUGGGGGUUCGAGUCCCCCCUUUCGCACCA
rnacentral:tRNA from 1 species